AUAAGGUCAACAUCAUGAACGAAAACAAACGAAAAAGGGAUGGUGGUGUUGGUCCACAGAUAAAGACUCAAAUGCCCCGUACCAAUAAGUUGGUAGAUAUUAACCGAAAAUUAUCUGAUGCGCAAAGGAGUAGAAUUAUGAAAACUCCAUUCCGAUAUCUGGUGGAAAUGAAGACCUAUAUAGGAAUGAAUGGUACUUUAUUGAAGGAAUUAUUGCAUAGGUGGGAUGCAAGUAGCUUAGGAUUUAGAGUAGGCGUUAGGACUGUGGCCUUUAAACAUCUAGACCUUUAUUAGUUGUUGAUUAAUUAAUAAUAUGUAAAUAUUGAUAUAUAUCGAAAUAAAAGCAUUUACUUAUCUACAGGAGGAUAUCCUUCGGAUUCGCAGUGACAUUGUUUGUCGUUUGGUGCUUCAUGAAGAAAAUAAGCAGAGAAGUUUUGUAUUGGAUAAUGCUAUGUUACCCGCGGACUUAUUGAUCGGUUAAACAUACAUUUUCUAACUUAAUUGUGGUUGAUUGA